rnacentral:rRNA from 1 species
AGAGUUUGAUCCUGGCUCAGAUUGAACGCUGGCGGAAUGCUUUACACAUGCAAGUCGAACGGCAGCACGGACUUCGGUCUGGUGGCGAGUGGCGAACGGGUGAGUAACAUAUCGGAACGUAUCCAAUAAUGGGGGAUAACUAAUCGAAAGGUUGGCUAAUACCGCAUACGCCCUACGGGGGAAAGCUAGGGACCUUCGGGCCUGGCGUUAAUGGAGCGGCCGAUAUCUGAUUAGCUAGUUGGUGGGGUAAAGGCCCACCAAGGCGACGAUCAGUAGCUGGUCUGAGAGGGCGACCAGCCACACUGGAACUGAGACACGGUCCAGACUCCUACGGGAGGCAGCAGUGGGGAAUUUUGGACAAUGGGCGCAAGCCUGAUCCAGCCAUUCCGCGUGAGUGAAGAAGGCCUUCGGGUUGUAAAGCUCUUUCGCAAGGGAAGAAAACUUAUCCUCUAACAUAGGAUGAGGUUGACGGUACCUUGAUAAGAAGCACCGGCUAACUACGUGCCAGCAGCCGCGGUAAUACGUAGGGUGCGAGCGUUAAUCGGAAUUACUGGGCGUAAAGCGUGCGCAGGCGGUUUUGUAAGUCAGAUGUGAAAUCCCCGAGCUCAACUUGGGAACUGCGUUUGAAACUACAAGACUAGAAUAUGUCAGAGGGGGGUAGAAUUCCACGUGUAGCAGUGAAAUGCGUAGAGAUGUGGAGGAAUACCAAUGGCGAAGGCAGCCCCCUGGGAUAAUAUUGACGCUCAUGCACGAAAGCGUGGGGAGCAAACAGGAUUAGAUACCCUGGUAGUCCACGCCCU